UAGGGAAUAUUGGACAAUGGGGGCAACCCUGAUCCAGCCAUGCCGCGUGAGUGAAGAAGGCCCUCGGGUUGUAAAGCUCUUUUGUCCGGAAAGAAAAGCAUUCGGUGAAUACCCGGAUGUUCUGACGGUACCGGAAGAAUAAGCACCGGCUAACUUCGUGCCAGCAGCCGCGGUAAUACGAAGGGUGCAAGCGUUACUAGGAAUUACUGGGCGUAAAGCGUGCGUAGGUGGUUGUUUAAGUCUGAUGUGAAAGCCCUGGGCUCAACCUGGGAAUGGCAUUGGAAACUGGGCAGCUAGAGUGCAGUAGAGGGUAGUGGAAUUCCCGGUGUAGCAGUGAAAUGCGUAGAGAUCGGGAGGAACAUCUGUGGCGAAGGCGACUGCCUGGACCAGCACUGACACUGAGGCACGAAAGCGUGGGGAGCAAACA
rnacentral:rRNA from 1 species